rnacentral:lncRNA from 1 species
AGCCCCGAUGAAUGUGAGAGCGGUGGGAGAACGCCGAGCAGCCAAAGCCAGGAACAGCAAUCAGUGAGCCACACCUCUUUUCCCGCGGGAGACGGGCCUGCAUGUGCGAAUGAUGUCAUCGUCAGACAUCGAUUGAAGGCAGAGAGGUGACAUUUCAGCCUGGCUUCUUCCUCUGUCUCUGUGACUUACAUAAUGAGAGAGAGUCCUUUAUGUAAGUCAUAAUUGGAGUCACAUGUCUGUGUUUUCGUUGCAGCAGGAGGCCCAGAGCAGAGCCCGAGCUUGCCACUGCCCCUCAAGGCCACCCACAGCUUCACAUGCAGCUUCAGAAGUUCACCGUAUCUGCUGACAAGACUCUGUCCUGGCUGAAAGACAACGUGUCCGUGGCCACACAGGUGUGUUCAGUAGCCAGCUUCGAGGGGCUGGAAGCGGCCAGGAGGUGUCAGCACACUCUGGAACGAGACAUCCUCACCAACAGAGCCAGGAUAGAGGUGGUCAAAAGGGUAAACGGAGACGGACCAUUACAUUCAGCUCCUCUGAAAACAUGAGCGCUGGAUGAAUGCCUUGAACGAAAAUAUUCCCCCUAUUUUGCAAACUGGGCACCAGGUCUGGUUUGUGUUUUAAUCAUAUAACGAGUUGAUAUUUCAUCUGAGACAGGUUCGGUUACACAAAGCUUCAGAUUAGGUCCACCUUUUGCUGCAUAGAGCCCAGUCCUAAGUCAUCACACGCUCUCACCAGUUUCACGCCUGUUCCCCAGGAGGGCCGAGGGCUUGUCCGUGCACAGCACCCCGGCAGCGCCAAGAUCGAGGAGUUCCUCAGCCAGCUGGAAGUCCUGUGGGAAGAACUGCGGAGGAGGCACCAGAGGAACGCUGUGUUUCUGCAGGCCUCAGAGGAGCUUGGCUUUCGGGUGAGAUUCAUACAAUGGUUCAAAAGAGGCACUCAUCUGUACGUCAUACUGAGGAGAUUAGUCACCGUUGGAGAAUUUAAUGAUUGUGAUGGAUGAUUCUGGAUCAGGAGCGCUCAUUGUUAGACGCUUUGUGCUGGACCAGAGCCUAGGUUGUACAUGCAUACGUACACUCAUGGUUAGAAGAUUUACUUUCAUCUUUACCACCUUAAUUACCACCGGGAGACUGUAAGGCUCUGUAUAUCCCCAGCAAUUUAUGAAGGCGAAUCCAAGGAAUAUAAAUUGUGCGUCUAUGUAAUUCAUUUAGGAGUUGGAAAGAGGCUGUAAAUCCGCCCAGAUUUGAUGACUUAAAGCUGGGUUCAGACUACAGGAGUUCACCUGUAGACCCCGAUGCUCCACAAGUCUGUAAUUGUGAGCAGCAGCCAGUGUAGCAAAGGGUCAAAACGGGGUUAAAUCGGACCGAGAGUCCUGUAGUCUGAGCCCAUCUUCAGUCAAGAAAGCGUGAAUCUUUCAGUACAAAAGAUGAAGGUCAGACCAAUGUCUACUUCCAGUUGUUGUACCUAUUAUUGUCUCCUUCAUACAGUGUGUCGGUUGUGUUUGUUGAAGCCUGUAAAUCGCAGCAGCAAAACGUAUACAUCACUAGCCUCUCUGCUUCCUGACUGUAUAGGUUGUAAAAGUGCUGCAGGCCCUGGGCAGCCUUGAGGCCUGGCUAGAGUCCGUGGAGCUUUCCAUGAAGGAAUCGGCGCCUCGCCGGUGACCCCGAAACGAUGAGCAUGGCUGAGAGGGAGAGCUGUCUGCUGGAGAAAGAGGUGGCAGCACGCAGCCUGGAGCUCGGUGCUCUGAGGCAAGAGGUGGACGGCCUCCACGGCCACAGUCACCCACUCACACAGAGGCUGCCAGCACGCAUGGCGGAGGUGGAAAGAAAGUGAGUUCUUUUUUAAGAGAAGGAAAGGGGGAAAGUCAGGGGUAGCCCCCUGAUGUCUCUCAUCGUGGAAGGGCUCAUGUUGUGGAUGAGUCUCCAGACUUUAGUCGUUUUGCUCAUCACUGUGGUCAGGAAAUAAAGUAAGAAUGUUGUCAGUGUUUCCAAGAGGUCACAGGUUUAGGCUUGGCUCGUCUGCAGCCCGACAUGGAAGAGUUUAUUCAUAAAACCCCUGUUUUUAUUUAAGACAAACAAUUUCACCCCAUAAACCACAAAGCAAUAUAUCCAUAUAUCUCAUGAGCUGCUUUUUUUCCCCUCAAACCUGGCAAAAAAUAUUCUCCAUGCACUCAUUCCCUGCAAGGCUCAAGGUUUAUUCGUUUGUGAUUCAUGCGGCACUUAGUGAGGUCUGCACCGCCGUCCUGACAUGCACUUCACCCACGGCUUGUCAGUGUGUGUCAGAGUCACCCAUUCGAUGUUUGCAAAAUGACGCCUUCCUUUGGUAGGCCCAAGACAAAGUUGUUGCCAUGGACUCUCAGUUAAACCUUAUGAUGUUGUACUUGUUUCGACUGGACAUGUGUCCAUAAACAAAAGUUCAGACUGUGUAAAGAAACACAAAGCUGACCAAAGAAAAUGAAGAGAUGGAACGGGCUCAGUGAGAGUGUUUCCAGGAUGGGGGCGUUACAUGGGGCAGGGAUGGACACUUGUGCAGCCUGAGGGGCCAGUGAUGCAGGUACAGUCUCUCACUAAGCAGCUGUAAGACAGUUGGGGAUGAUGUCAUUAUUUCAUGCUACAUACAAGCAACUUAGGGCUCAUUUAUUAUGAAAAAAACACCCUUUCAAAUUGCUCCCUUUACCAUCUCAAGUGUAAACUCUGCACGGACAGAGUAACUUCACGCCCUGAACUGCAGGAUAUGUUUACGUGACACAUGAUAUAUGAUUACAUAAACUGUGCUCUGGCAUGGUGACUUACACCAGUCGGUCUCUGUAAUGUGGUUCUGCUGAAGGAUGUGGGGUUGUAUAUAUGCGGAUGUGGAUCACAGUUAAGGUGUAGCUGGUCAUGAAAACAUUCAUGUAUUUCCCAGGUACCACUGUGUCCAGAGUGCCCUGACCCAGCAGAGCUCCGAGCUGCAGGACACGCGAAUGCUGACUGAGUUCCUGGAGCGCGUGGAGCUGGAGGAGAGCCAGGAUGGUCUCCAGUACAGCCUGGGACAGGUGAGACACAUCUCACCAGAGGUUAAAGAAAUGUCUUAUUUAUCUGCAUAGCUGUUUCUCAUAAUACAGAUAGCAUUGAGGUGGUGACAUUGUUGUUUCUUUCUUUCACUUCAUUUUCUUAAGUUCAUGUCUGAAAACAGCUUUGGAGACAGAUACGAACAGACACUUGAGCAGAUAAAACCAAAAACUAUUUGUUUGGCAAAAAAAUGCCUUCUUUUUAUCAUUUGUAUUAACAGACGUGUUUUUACUAUACCUAACAGCCUCUCCAAAGUGAGAUCUCCGCAGUUCCUACAUUGCUGGAACUCCAAAGCA